rnacentral:lncRNA from 1 species
UUGCAACCUGUUAUUUUACUUUAAUUAUAAAAAACACUGGUAUAUAUAUGGUGGGCGAACAGAGUCAAAUAGUAGGUAUAAAUGGAAUCACCCGAGAACAAAAAGAAGAAAUAAGUACUGGAAUAAAUAAACAGGUAACAAUGGAAUUAGUUGAAAAACAAAAAAGUGAGAUAAGAACAGAACUAAAAGAAAGAGUAGAAGGAACCUAUGAUUCUUUAUCUGAAAGUAGAGAAUUACUUUACGAUGACCUGUUUAAAAAGUUGGAAUAUGGUGAUGAAUAUAUACAAAAGAGAAGUUUGGAAAAUUUGUUGAAAAUACUUCAAAAAAACAAUACAUCGGAAGAUACAAUACCUAAUCGUCGUUGUUUAAGAAUAUUAUUAAAAUUAUUUAGUGAGCACAUCGUGUUAGUACUUGAAUGUUUGUUGAGUAUAUCUGCACAUAGGCAAAAGGAGCUAAUAGACAUAGGUUUGGUUGAGCAACUAUAUGAAAUGAUAACCGAGGAUGCUAGCCAAGAAAAUAAUCACACCGACGGAUAUAUCAUGUUACUAGCCAACUUGACAAGGUGCAAAACUGGUGUAUAUCGACUGUUGAAUCUUAAUGAAUAUAAUUUGCAUGACCACGAGGAUAAAGAGUUUUUAAUUAAUGGUUAUUUAAACAAAUUGUUACAUUUUUUUUUCUUACCUAUAACCGAAUAUUCUAAUAAAAAUGUAAAGGAUAAGUAUAUAUAUGUGGGGUAUAUAUUAGUAAAUAUAAGUGCAGUAAAAGAAUGUGUUCCUUUUUUUAAGAGGGUUAAUUUUUUAAAUAAAAUAUGCUCCCAGUUAUUAAUUGGAAGUAGAUUAAAACUGUUAGUAGCUUUUGCUACCAACUUAAGUUUACACGAAAGCCUUCAUGAUUAUAUAUUUGAUGAUAAAUGUGUUAUGUUUCAAUAUUUAUUAAAAACUUUACAUACACAACCAAAUACGGGUAGUAAUAGUAGUUUUACAGUAGAACCUCCGGCACUUAAAUCUACGAAUAGCUCUAAUAUACAAGAAGAUGCUUCACAAAAAAUAACAGUACCAACAGCCAGUGAAGAAAUCAGACAAAAAAUAUUAGCGCUUAUAUAUCAUUUAUAUAAAAAUGAUUAUACUAAGUAAUUUUUUAUUGAUUACAUGUGGGGUGUAUGGUUG